rnacentral:lncRNA from 1 species
UGCAAGGGACCAGAGCAUUGUUACCUUGACAGCGGCGAGAGGCACAAUGGGCUAUAUUGCACCUGAGCUAUAUUCAAGGAACUUUGGGGGAAUAUCCUACAAGUCAGAUGUAUACAGUUUUGGCAUGCUGGUGUUAGAAAUGGUUAGCAGAAGGAGGAACUCAGACCCAAGUGUCGGGAGCCAGAAUGAUGUCUACCUUCCAGAGUGGAUCUAUGAGAAAGUAACCACUGGGCAAGACUUGAUUCUUACUUUGGAUAUGGCACAUGAAGAGAAAGAAAAGGUCAGACAGCUUGCCAUUGUGGGACUAUGGUGUAUCCAGUGGAACCCAAAGAAUCGGCCCUCGAUGACAAAGGUGGUAAACAUGUUAACCGGGAGGUUCCAGAAUCUACAGAUGCCCCCAAAACCAUUCAUCUCAACUGAAAAUCAUCCUGUUGUGUAAAUCAUGGAGAGCAUGCUACCACAUAACUUAGUAAACACUGAGGCGUGUAAUAUAUUUGAUGUUUCCACUACAUUAGUGCCUGAUGUAUGAAUACGGAUCCAUCGCCAUGUAAUACUAUUACUAGCUAUUUGUAAUCAGAAUCACAUCAAACUUUAUUUGGAUUGUAAAAAAACAGUUAAAAAUACAAUAAUCUAUUGAUUACCUUGUUCUGAUAUUCCGACGAUUUAUACCCAGUUCAGCAUUUCCCUCAGUGCAUUCAUCCUCAUAGAAGUCCUCGAGAAACAUGAUGAGGCCAUCUGAUUGUCACUCCGAUAAUGGUGAGAAUGUCAGAGGAUCCAGGCCACCUGAUGUAUGAAUAAAUCUCAGCAAUCCAUGCCACCUGAUGUAUGAAUAAUAAUCAGUCGUCACCGCGUCAUAGUCAAUGAAAAAAAUAGCGCGCUACAGAAAAUAGCGUGGCCCCUGAAAAUAUGCUAUUAGCGUGCUAUAGCGUGCUAUUAGCGAGGCAUUGUACAUUGAUUUAUUUAGCGAGACAAUUUUCUAUAUGCUAUAGCGUGCUAUUAGCGGCGAUAUAGCGCGCUAUUUUUUUCAGUGGUCAUAGUACAGAAUCACAUAGCUUUAUUUGCAUUUUGACAGAUAAAAUGCAACAACCUUAUCCUGCUGUUCCACGCUUGAGUAUUUUCUCAGGGCAUUCCUCCUCAGUAAGCAGGCCAUUUUAAUCGCAGACCUGGAUUGGGGAGGCAUGCUCAGAUUGAACAGUUCUUAAAACACAACAACCCGUUGCUUACCUUAUUAUUCUUCUGUUCCACACAUGAGUAUUUUCUAGUACAGUGCAUUCCUCCUCGGUAAUGUGUGAGCUAAUCAUGGACUAGUAGUUAUUACGCUGAAAAUCUCACAGGUUCAUCCUACAGGCGGGUUAAUCAUGACAUCUUAAUCCCAGGACAGGAGUAACACUUUUCCAUGUGUGUGGGAUUGUGGGUACAUUUCGUACUAAGAUUUGGCAACAAAAAUGAAAGGAAAUCGAACGGAGGUGAGGAGGCGGCGGCGGAUCUCGAAGGCAGCGAGAUUCCUCGGGAGGCCGCCAUCGCCGGAGAAAGGGCGCUCCGGUGGGGCAUGGCUGGCAAUGGGGGAUACGUGGAGCCCUCAACUGGAAGCGCGAUUCGGCGGCCUACUCCGAUAGCCGGCGGCGGCGGCGGAGCAGAGCACCGCACCGCCGGGGGACGUGGUUUUUUUGUUUUUUGACAGGUGCCGGGGGACGUGGUGGGUUGGAGAAGAGGCGUAUCAGGGAGGGAGGGAUGCUGACUCCAUCUGCGAAAACGGCCCAGCCCACUAAGCUGAAAAUGUGCAAUGUAUAUAAGGAAAUUAGACAUCAAAACAAUAUAGUUAAUAAAUGUUAGUCACAUUUAAAAAAAUGUGCAACGUGUACGAAACAAAUAUUUCAGCUAUAUACAAAAUGUGUUCAUGUAUUUGAAAAACGUUAUACACGUAUAAAUGAAAUGUUCAUGUCUUAUAUGAAAAGAGAAUUGUAAUAGGGGAGCCGUGGAACUUCUGGACUGGAAGCGUGAUGUGGCGGCCUACUGGGAUCUGUGAACUGUAUGCCCACUACAGGAUGACCGCCGGCGAAGCAGAGCACCGCACCGCCCGGGGCCAUGGUAGGUAGGAAGAAGAGGCGCAUCGGGCUCCUCCUCCUCCAUCUGCAACAAAAGACCCAGCCCGCUAUGUAGGGUCCAGCCCAUCAAAACCACGCCACAGCCUGCUGUGUUUUUCUUUCCCGCUAUUCCUCACAUCCUGUUUUUUUUUCUGUAUAUACAGCUCGGAAGUGAUACUACUUUUACCAAAAAAACAUACGUAUAUCUUGCUCUUUAUUAGUAUACAUGAUUUUAUGGAUUUAUUUGAAAAAUGCAAGUGUAUAUUUUAGAAUUUUAGAAAUAAAGAUCUAGCAAAUUAGCUGAUUAACAAUUAGCAUAGUAAUUUAAAAACAAAAUUAACAAAUGAUAAAUAGAAAGACUUUUGUAUUUUUUAGGAGUGUUACAACACUCCAUAAAAUAGUAUACAUCAUUAUUUUUCAACGAUUCACAUUUCUAUUUUGUGAGCAUGAGAAUGAUACAAUUUCACUUAAAUCUCACGUAAUGUCUUCGUAAACACCAACUGGUCGGUGGUAAAGGACGACCUUAGUGUACUCAAUCUCUUUUGACUUGUGAAAAACACCAACAAAUUUACAUUGAAGGCACAUUUGAGUUGGUACAAACAUAGGAAUCCAGACUCCGCUUGAUUUGAUCUUUAGUUUCGACCUUCAGCAGUCGGGAAAAAGAAGAAGGGCCCACCUAUUCCAUUCUGAGAGACCACAAAGUUUCGAAUCCUUUGAGUCCGGAUUAUGAAGACCCGAUUGGAUUUGUCAAGAACGAGCUAACAACUACAACGGACAUACAUGAAAUGCUUUCAUCUGAAGCUCUGAAGGUACAUAAAUAAGCAUUCAAGAGAAGCUUUGGUGCACGAUGGGGAUUUGCAUGGAAGUAUCAAGAACUGGAUUAUGCCUUCUAUCUCGUGAAAAUCUAACUAUUAACCCAUGUGACAAGCCCAUGGAGGAUUUGGAGAACUACACGACAAUAAGUGCAAUUCCAUGCCACCUCGGUUCUAAAUCAUUAUGACAACAUGUUGUUUUUCUUCUAUGAGAAACCAGACAGGAUGGGAAAGAUUUCACUAGUAUGAUAUGAUCUCGUUAGCAGCAGAAUUGCUCCUACCUCGUGUUGCAGCCAGUGCAGCGAGAAACACAAAUACGUUUUUUUAAGAACCUCAUCACAAGGGCAUGGGGUUCCUGCAGUUUAUUUAGAAAGAAAGAGAUGGUCCAGUUUAUAAGGAAAACCGGGCCCAAAAACUAAACAUUCCUUGUUAAUUACGGAAAAACAAGUGAAAACCCAAAAAGAGGAGCGAAAAAGCAACAAUGUUUUUAUUUGGCAUGGCAUUUGUAGUCGACGAAUAAUUUUAGUUGUUGCAAGCUGGGGCCACUAUAAAAUAAAUGUCCAAAAUGCAACAACUCAUAGAUGGAUACUCGGGGGUGGUGUUCAUGUUGAACAGUGAUUUUGUAUGUUGCUUACAAUUUUCUUGAAUCUCUACCAUUUUCUAAGCCUUUUGAUGUAUAUCAAACUAUUCCAUCUCCACCUUACUCGCGCGUUACCGCGCCCAUCCCAAAAUUAUAAUAUAUAGGCUGGCUUUAACAUCUAUUUGAAUACAAAGUCAUUUUGGAAUGUAAACAUUGCACCAAUAGGGCCUCUUUGCAUUAACUUGGUUUCAUUAAUUUCCUGCUCACUCUAUUUAUUCAUAGACAAUUACAAAGCACAUAUUGACAAUAGUACCCAAAAACAAGAAAUUAAAAUGCAAGUCUCAUAGCAGUGCGUCUGACCUAAAACACAAUAAGAUCCUGCAAGUGCACAACCAUAGUUAUUCCAUCAUUUUCAGAAGAAUUUCAGACAUAAAACAACAAUGACAAGUGUAUAUAUGAAUUGGCCUUAUAAUUUCUUGUAUAUUUAUCUACAUGUGUACCAUCACUUCGAAAGGGACCAACAAAAGAUGCACCCAGGUUAAGCAUCUUUACUCAAUAAAAAUAUAUGAAAGAGAAGACUCCAUUGAUGGAUUUACUCUUACCAGCAGAAAAUUCCAAAAAAGCAUAUGUUUUAACUAAACAUAAGAAAAUGAUUGUGUCAAGCAUCUAUUCUUAUCAGGACAACGACUUUCCAUUCCAAUUUUGUAUCGGUGAAAUUAUCCCUUUCUGGUAGUGUAUAUACUCAACUGGAAUACGACCCAAGGGAAGAAACAGAAGCAUGGGACUCACAAGGGAAAAACAAACAACGAAUGGAGCAAGAUUCCAUCUCGGCAGACUGCAAAACCAGGGCACGAACCAGUCGCUUACGCAUACACGAUUCCUCACCAAUCGAAGCAAAGGGUUCGCGAGGUGUGUUUACCUACGGAAGCUGAGAUUUGUGGGGACGCAUGAGAGUUCCUUCAGAAUAGGAAGAAUCGAUCCAUGCAUCAACAAUUUCUUCUCCGUGGACGGAUUGUACACCUGCACAACUUCCUAGGCCAAUCUACUAUGCCGAACAGAAGGGUCGAAGCCGUCGAACCGCAAGGGACGAAGCUGACAACACACGUCAAGGAGAACCGCCGAACAGCGAGUAAUGAAGUCGAGGGCGCGUGCCGCAGCCUCGGGGAGAACGCACGCAGUGUGGUUGAGAAAUCUUGAGAGGAUGCCUUUUUUUCUUUGAUAUCUCUUGAGAGGAUGCCUUUUUUUAGUAACUCUUGAGAGGAUGCCUUUUUUUUGAGACAAUCUUGAGAGGAUGCCUAGGUAUGCACGGAACGGGCCUGUUGUUUACCCUCGUUUUCCUGGGCCUAAUCUAUUUCUCUCGACCUCUCAGCCCAACUAAUGACAGAAAGCCUAGGUCAGCUAGCGGAGCAGCAGCCCGUUUACGGUGACCAGGUCACGCUGGGUGAUCGAACGAAAAAUGGGCAGGCGCGAGGGACGAAACGAACGCCAGAUCUGAACCGUCUAUUAGGCUGAUCCGACGGCGGAGGAUGUCAAAUCGCUGUGGGAGGGCGUGGGUAGCCCAGUUUUACUGUUUAGUAAUAACAUUGAAUUAAAACUGCACAUGGGUAGAAUUUCAGUGUGUCAGUAGUGUGUGCAACUUAAUGUGAUUGAUAUUUAUGAAGCUUUAACACAACUGAGAAUUCUCAAGAUUGGAAAGUUCUCCAAAAGCAGGAAAACAUGUGAGAAAGGUCUAUAUCAUAACUAUGAGUAUACAGAAUUUUUUGAGAGGCUAGGAAAUGACAUAUAUGUCCACACAUCAUCCUAUUAAUGCCUAUUUAUGCAUUAUUUUCUAUUUAUUUCAAAACCUUAUGAUUUUGAGUCAACUAAACAAUACAUACGUGAUUGAGAAGGACGAAAGCACUUUACUGAAUAUCACUACCUUUGAUGGCGGACACCAAUGCCAUCUUCAUAUUAGAAGUGCAUGUAAAUGUGUCCAUCCUACAUCGGAGUGGUAUAUAAAGGAGCUCUCAUAAGAACACUUUGAUGUAGUAGAGGCAGGGAUAACACAAUAGAAAACACUUUGUACCAGGUUGGCAGCCAACUGGGGCCAUGCAUGCAUAUAUACCACUGGGCUUGGGAAGAAUCGAGAAUUCAGUUACCACUCUCCCUUCUUGCGAGCCUCAUACUCUGUGUAAUCUUGUGAAUAGGUGGUGCCACCAAACUCAUGUUAAAAUUUGACUAACGCAUAUUGUGCCCAGCGUGGAUCAAAGGAGUAUGUUACGCUGCAGUGCAUACAUCACGUCGCGGUAUCCAAGCAAUUGCCCUUCAUUUCAUGUUCAAAAUGAAUGGACUAGAGGUCCCAAAAACGCUACUCCCUCUAUUCCUAAAUUUAGUGCGCAUAGGAAAUUUCAAAAGUCAAACUCCCCCUACUUUGACUACAUUUAUAGAGGACAAAUAUCCACAUUUAUAAUAUUAAGUAAACAUCAUUAGAUACAUCAUUAAGCAUAUAUUUAUGUUAUAUUUAUAUGGUAUCAUUUUUGUUGAUACUUUUCUCACUAAAAUUGGUCAAACUAAACAAUGUUUGACUUCUAAGAAAUUUUAUGCGCACUACAUUUAAGAAUAGAGGGAGUACCACUAAGUAGGCAGCCCACUAAGUACGAAUGAAGGGCCCAGCCCAUCAAAACCACACCACAGCACGCCCCACUAGGCCCACCAGAGACAUGCUGUGUUUUUCUUUUUCGCUGUUGGCUAUUACAGACCGUCACACCUUUUUUUUAUUACUGUAUAUACAGCUCCGAAGUAACACUAUACUUGCACCCCAAAAAAACUUGCUCUUUACUAGUAUACAUGACUUUUUAUGGAUUUAUUUGAAACACGUAAGUGUAUAUUUUACAAUUUUAGAAAUAAGGAUCCAGCCAAUUAGUUGAUUAACAGUUAACAUAGUAAUUUUAAAAAAUUAACAAAUGAUAAAUAGAAGAACUUUUGUGUUACUUUAGGAGUGUUACAACACCCCAUAAACUAGUAGCACAUCAUUUUUUCAGUGAUUCACAUUUGUAUUUUGUCAGCAUGCCAAUGAUACAAUUUCACCUCAAUCUCACGUAAUGUCUACACUCCUGGUAAAUAAACACCAGCUUGUAAGUGGUAAAGGAUUACUCUAGUGUAUUCGAUCUCUUCCUACUUGUGACAGCGAACGACAAUUUGAUAUUGAAGGCACAUGCAUGUAUGCUUUCAUCUGAAGCUUUGAAGGUACAUAAAUAAGCAUUCAAGAGAAGAUUUGGUGCACUACUUUUAGGUAGAGAUGAUGAGGAUUUGCAUGGAAGUAUUGAGAACCGGAUUAUGCCUUCUAUCUCGUGAAAGUCUAACUAUUAACCUGUGUGACAAGCCCAUGCAGGAUUUGGAAAACUACGCGACGAUUAGUGCAAUUCCAUGUCCUCUCAAUUCGGAAUCAUUAUGGCAGCAUGUUGUUUUUCUUUGGUAAGAAACGAGACGUGAAGGGGAAGGCUACACUAGUAUGCUAUGAUCUCAUUAGCAAUAGAGUUGCGCCUACCUCAUGUUGCAGCUAGUGCUGCGAGAAACACAAAAGAUGUUACUAUUCGGCAUGGACGUUGUAGUCGACGAAUAUAACCACAAACUUGGCUAUAUUCUGUUGUCCAUUAUUAGUUUUUAAUCUUGGCAUUAAUCUUAAUUCCAUAUUGAAUCCACACUUUCUAAGUGUUUUGUUCAUUUGGUUAUGACCCCUUCUGCUGGGCACGGUUACUUUGUACAUUUGUAGCACAUAAAAGAAAUUGAAUUUCUUAUCUUGGGAUCUAUUUAUUUAAAGGAGAAUUCCCAAUAUCACUUUUAUUGCUAGAGUUUGUUGUUUUGGCAUAAUUUUUCUAGUUGACUCGAUGAAGAAUGAGUUUACAUGAGAAAACAUUUAGUCAUUGUCAUUUUUUCUUCUUACCAGCGAAAUUCUCAAUUAUGAGGCAGCUAAGUAUACUGCUUCUAUGAAUAUUCCUUGCAUUGUAUUACAUAAGCGGUUCGAUUUAUCUAUUUCUAGUAUCAAGUGACUUAUAAGUGAGUUAUUUUGGGUAAUCUACAAAAGCUCAUCUACUCCUGAUGAACAGUAAACUCCAAAAAAUAGUAAACAAUCGAAAAAUCUGCAUAUUUCUGACAUCCAAGAUGCUCUAGAUGCUAGGAGCGUGCAAAUUUUCGUUGUGAUAUGACUUUCGAGGGGAUGUAGACGAAAGAAAAAUCAGGUCACCAAGGUGCUUUUUUUCAAAGUUUCUUUGAGAGUUGAAUUUUGCUUUUCCCCCCUCAAAUUACGUUUGCUAGAUCAUCUUUCUAACCACGGUUUUUAAGGCGGCAAGGCAUCUAAAGGCGAUCAAUCCCUGCCUUACCGCCUAAUGGACGCUUAAGCGCCUAAGGUGGACAAAAUGCCAAUACGCUACCAAAGCACCUUGCCGCUUAAGCGAUGCCUAAGCAUCACCUUACGAACGCAUUAAAAACCAUGUUUCUAACUAUCUCAUGUUGCCUUCUUUUAUUUAUGUGCCUUUAUUGUGGAACUGUUGUUAACUGCAUGACCUCUCAUGAUUCUAGGUAGAACCAUUACUGUUGGAUGCAAUGGAGCUGAAAUGUUAGCAUGAUUAUCUGGUUUGAUGUGCUAAUGUGCUGAGACAUUUGAACUAGUAAGAAGAUUUUCUGAUUGUAGUUUGUGAGAUUUUGACUCUUCAGAAAAUAUCUGGUGGCCAAUGUGGGUUGCAUGCACCCUCAAACUACGGUCAUAAAAAUGGUGGUCAUGCUAAGUAAUUAGGUUGUUUCAUAUUCUAUAAGUUGAAAGCAAUGUAUUUUUAGCCAAUUUUACUAGUAUAAUCACCAUUCUCAUCAUUAAACUCCCCCACCCAACAAAUUUGUGUCAAAAAGGCUUUUGUUGUCAGUGGUGUUCUAUGGGGGUGGAGCUAGUGAAUAUGAUAUAACUCUUCGUUUUAUGAGGGGAUAUGAUGUAGCUCUUCUUUUAUUUUGCUGAGCUCAUCAUGAGUUUGUACUAUCUUUUUUUGUAAUUUCUUGUUCAUAGACGGUUACAUAUCGAAAAUCCAUUUCUGCACCCGAGCUCAUUUGCACCCACGCUGAUGAACAAAAUAAAAAAAAUACUAGAAAAAUUCAAACAAUGCCAAAUUUUUUUCUCAUGGUAGAAACUUUGAUGCGUGAGGUCCGCCCCAAUUUUCAAGUCAUUUGGAUAAAUGAGCAACCCUCGGCAAAAAAGACAAAUUCGAGGUUUGUAAAACAGUAUACUGUUCAUAUACUGUUUUGACCCGAUUUGUCUUUUUUGCUGAGAGCGCCUUAGAUGUCCAAAUAUGAUAAAAUUUGGAGCGAACCUCACGCAACAAAUUGUCUACUAUGAGAAAAAAAAUUGGAAUUUUUUGAAUUUUUCUAGUAUUUUUUGUGAAUUGUUUUCUGGCCGGGUGCAGAUGAGCCUGGGCACCGAAUCGCUGCACUCGUUACAUAUGUGCUAUUAUAAGAUUUUAUUUACCUUUAUCUGUAAUGUAUGGCUGCUAUUGAGUUACUAGAAGAUUAACACUUUUUUUCUCCAGGUGAAGAAAUGGCUGCUGCAGUUGUUAGUUGUCACUGAGUCUGUCGCGUCGCAUCAAUGUGGUCGAUGAUGUUUAUAUGUUAUCUACAAAAAACUUAUCGUGUCUUAUUCGAGUCAAGUAUGUAAUGUACUAAGGUGCUUUCGAAUACCUAAUCUAGGGAAUUUCGGCUGAUACUAGUAUUAUUUUAAGUUGGGUUUCAUCAUGUCACUAGUUUCUACAUGCUGGAGUGUGGAUUUGUCGUACCCCAGUACCAGUGUACCCUCUAUCUCAUCCGUCCAGUUUGCGUCAAGAUUCGUGCUAUUCUUACAUAAUUUUUUCUCUUUUUUAUCUCUUCCAAACAAGAGAACAUUUGACCCUGAAACUUUGCAGGUCAACUAUACACAAGUGUCGCUCAUUGUAUAAUAUUUUUUUGAUGAAAUAUAAACAUAGUAGUACUUGUGUGAUGUUGAUCUACAAAGCUUCGAGUUCAAAUGUUCUUUUAUUUGGGAGACAAAAGAGAAGUUUGCUUGCACGAACUUUGAAGCAAAACUGGAUGGUGAGAUAGNNNNNNNNNNNNNNNNNNNNNNNNNNNNNNNNNNNNNNNNNNNNNNNNNNNNNNNNNNNNNNNNNNNNNNNNNNNNNNNNNNNNNNNNNNNNNNNNNNNNNNNNNNNNNNNNNNNNNNNNNNNNNNNNNNNNNNNNNNNNNNNNNNNNNNNNNNNNNNNNNNNNNNNNNNNNNNNNNNNNNNNNNNNNNNNNNNNNNNNNNNNNNNNNNNNNNNNNNNNNNNNNNNNNNNNNNNNNNNNNNNNNNNNNNNNNNNNNNNNNNNNNNNNNNNNNNNNNNNNNNNNNNNNNNNNNNNNNNNNNNNNNNNNNNNNNNNNNNNNNNNNNNNNNNNNNNNNNNNNNNNNNNNNNNNNNNNNNNNNNNNNNNNNNNNNNNNNNNNNNNNNCAGAAGUUUACCAUCCUGUGAAUUCGAUCUGGAGGAACGACAUGCAUGGUGGCGCGGGGCUCGAGCGGUCGCCGGCCGCCAGGGACCGGAGCAUGGUGGUGGGGAAGGGGAUGUGGCGUGAACAAUGGGCCGGGCCCAUUUGCAUAUACGGCCGUUGAGCUGUUUUCCCCAGUGAUCUGGGUUGGGUUUAGUGGUGGGCUUGUUUUUGACUGCUCGCGCUAAAAUUCUUGGGCCGCCAUACCGUGUUCGUGCCCCAUCGGUCAUCGAAGAAAUUACAUCCCUACCGCACAAUUUUUCUUACAUCACUCAACAAAAAGAAAAAAAAACAUCCCCUCAAAAAAACCAAAGAAAUUGCAUCCUCUCAAAAAACAAACCCAAAGAAAUUACACAUUGGGCCCUGACGACGAUGUCAUCGAAGAAAUCCUUAAAUUCUAUUGUUAUUCUCUUUUUUUUGAUGAAAAGGGGUUUCCCCCACCCCCAUUUUAUUAAAACGAGGCAACAUCAACAAUCCUUAUAUCUUAUUGUUACUCUUUGCACAGAGGCAAUUUGUGUGGUCAUCACUGCACCGACUCAAUGGUUUGUUUCCGGUGUACAUGUCGUUUCAGCGUUUAUUACAUGGCUGAAAUGAAGAAGAUAAUGCAGCUGAGACUGAGGAGGUUGCUGCUGUCCACUUACUUUGUAGUGGUUGAUACGAGUGAAAGGGCUCGUCUCAUCUUCAAUUCCUUACAGCCAUUUUUACUGGUGAUGAUAUGAGUCUGGAUCGGUGUGAGUCUUUAGUCACGCUCGUAAUCGCAACAACACGACGACGACAGAGAGAGUAGCAUUCACGCUUGGAAACUCUGACCGUGCACACGCCUAUCAUCGGUAGCCAGUGCGCAUCUCUUCUCCUCUUCAAGCAGCUGUGAUUUGAAAGGGCUAGUCUAACUGUGUUUACCACUGUUCCAAAAGAAAGAAGGAAGAAAAACUGUGCUAUACCACCACCAGAGAAUACAAAACAAAAUAGUACAAUCGGCAGCGCAACAGUUUGCAUUAUCCAUUUUACAGACUUUGCUUGUGAUCUGCUUUAUUUAUUUAUUUACUUAUUUUGAGAAUCGUUAUGGACUGUCUUCCACUAGAACUCUACAAGCACCCGAUAAAACGCUAAUUAACUGUGUUGUCUUUUCACAGCAGGUGCAUGCAAAUAUCACUCCACAUCCCACAAGCUAUCGCUCGGUUAAUAAUAUGUUCACAUUGAAAUAAUACAUAUGUCUUCCAAGAACAUCAACUAUUACAGUACAUUUUAGCACCUUACUUUCAUGGAUAUUACAGUUGGAAGUAAUUUCCCUCCAUCCUCUCUAUUUUUUAAACUGCUAGUAUUACAUUACAUUACAUGCUCCCACAUAAAAGUUCACAGCAAGAGUCGGAAUAUUUUAUACAACCAUAACUUGAACCUUUUGCAAGCAAAGUGCUUCAACUUAAUCAUACAUUACAUCACACAAUGAUAUUUUCACUCAUAUCCUCCUCCGAUAUUUCAGUCAACUCGGACGACAAAUGAUAAGUAUCCUCAGUAUGGGUGUGUCCUUCAUCGCAGAACAAUGGCCUCGAAGGCAUCUCCAAGCCCUCGACACAGCCUUCCAGCAUCUCUAUAACCUCGCCCAUCGUGGGUCGAUCUUGAGACCUCAUCUGAAUGCACCAUAGUCCGACAAUACACAGCUUCCUCUCCAGCUCAUGCAUGUCAACGACAUGAACAGAUAUCUCACCCCAUUCUUGCUGAGUUAGCCUAUCAUACACCCAUGAUGGGUAGUAUGCCUGGCUCGAGUGCGCUGCAUUCGGAUCAACAUUCCUUCUUCCUCCGGCCAUCUCCAACAGCAGCAUCCCAAAACUGUAAACAUCCGACUUGCUCGAUAUGACGCCAAAGCUCCGAGAUAUCAUCUCAGGAGCUAUGUACCCGAUUGUUCCACGCAGGGCUCUUGAUGGCACGAAACUGUUGUCCCUUGGGUACAGUUUGGCAAGACCAAAAUCAGCAAGUUUGGGGACAAAAUUGCUGUCGAGAAGGAUGUUGUGUGGCUUGAUGUCAAAGUGCAGAAUCUGCAUGUCACAACCCUGAUGCAGGUAAUGGAUACCCCUGGCAAUGCCUAAAGCAAUCUCCAUGAGCUUGUCCCAACAGAAACUCUUCUUGGCUGAGAAGAUGUAUUUGUCCAAAGAACCUCGAGGCAUGUACUCGUAGACGAGUGCUUGUCUCAUUUCUUCCGGGCAGAACCCCAUGAGACGCACAACAUUGACGUGGUGGAUCCUGCCAAUGGUGGCAACUUCACUGAUGAAAUCUUCUCCAUUGCAAUUGGAGUUACCCUCCAGCAUCUUGACCGCGACAUGGACGUUGCCUGGUGAUAGCACACCCUUGAACACCGAGCCGUAGCCUCCCUGACCCAGCUUAUCUCUGAAAUGGUUUGUGAUUGCGGUGAUGUCAGUGUAGGCAUACCUUGUUGGACCCAACAUUUGCUGCAUUAGAAGGAACUUCUCUACUGCAUCGAUUGUUAUCCUUGUUUUCCAAUAUUUGUGAGCAAGGAAGAUCAAUACAGCUAUGGGUGCCAACAUGAAUCUGCAUAGUACUGCAUAACAGGUUCAUUCAUUUUAAUAACAAUAGUAAUGAAGCUCAAUACGAUAGCUUGGAUCAUCAAGAAGAAUAUAAAAUUCUGACAUACCAGCAAUGCACUUCACGAGCCAGAUGGCAAGAGCUAUUAUAUAUGUGCCUAAGGACCAAGCAAUGUUGUCAUGCAAUGGAACAACAGAAACCACACAAUUCCAGAAUCUGAGUUCAAUGGAAAAAAAUAACAAAGCCCAGUCCUCAAUAGUAUUUGUUUCAUCACGUUCGCUGCAAGACCAUGGCACAUCACCAUGGUACAAAAAGGAAAUUUAAGAAAGACGCAAGUGUAUAGGAAUCAAACAGAAAAAGGUACUAUAGCAAACUCACCGUACCAACUUCAUUAGGCACUCAGUGAUGCCCCCAGUGGGAAAUCGAACAGCGAAUCCGGUCCUCAUGAGUUCAAUGGUCUCUGCAUAACUUGCAUUCGCUGCCCGACUACCUAAAGGAGUCAUUGCCAGAUAUCCACAAGAAGGCUCGAGGCUCCCGACAGCACCAGAGUCCAUGCCAGUUAACACAUAGACAAACGAAUAGCUGGUGCUCAUGCAAGUGACAGGCAUGUACCUACCAUUGUUCCUUACUUCCUGAGAACAUCUAACAAAGCUUGCGAAACUGUAUGCACGAGGUGCUAAUUCAACUUCAGGGUGUGAAACAUCUGGACCAUAUUUGUGUUCAUUAAAAGGCCGAUUCCAGCUAGGAAGAGGGCACUGGUCAAGUAAGUCCAAGAUAGCAUCAACAACCAAGAAGUAAGAAAAAGUAGUGUUGAUGCGAGACACAUGGUAUGUUGCAUUGUUGAUGUGAAUUGUAGCCUUGGUAUCACUGCAAAACCGCACCAGGAUGGAUCACCUGCCUGACGAAAUGGCGACGAUACCUCCCUAAGAGGGCCACAUGAAAAAGGAGGACAAUCAUGCCAAUGAAGUCGCCCUUGAACAUAAUUUGGAACAAGAACUGCAAGCACAAAUAAGGCAGUUGAGGCUUUCAAGGCAGUGAGAUGGUGGAACACAGUAGCUCUCACCAUGGCAGACUGGUUCAAAGAAUCGCACAUGCAUGUAGAUGAUACAAUAGCUGGUUAAGAAGAUCAGUUGCCUGAUGACUGACUGGUUCUAUAUGGUCGUGAUGGCAAAAGAAGAAAAGUUCCAGUUGGUCUACUGGAUGUGACAUUCCAUUCCACAUCCAAUUGUGUCCAGUAGUCAUGCCCAUGUACCAGUCGUGGUGAAAAGGAAGCCAUAUAUUAUUGCUCUUUGUUUGUAGUGAAGCCAUUGGAGGACGAAUCUCUGACUAAUCUACAUUGACAGCAAGCCAGCACUGAAUAGUAGCGCUUCUUCAUUUUUCUGAUACGCAGCACGUCGGAAGUUUCAUUGGCAAUUGGAAUCCCUCCUUAUCCACACAGCUAUCAUGCAAGCAAACCGUACAUUCUCGCUUAAUUUAACUACAUGUGCUCCUUGUUACACUCACAGGCUUCUCUACAAUACAUCCCAACAGUAUGCCAGGACUUCUCUUGACAGUGCUGCUCAUCUCUCUUCUCGCCAAAGAAACAUAUGUUGCCACAUCACUGGAUGAUGAAAACUUCUUCAAGAGUUGUUCACCAAGUCGGUGCAGCAAACAUGGACCAGAGGUCCGUUUCCCAUUCAGGCUUGCAACCCAACCUCCGCCUUGUGGUGCACCAGGUAUGCAACUAUCAUGCUCUGGACAGGACACAAUCCUGUACCACCAAGUUCUUGGCUCCUGCAAAGUGACUGCAAUAUUUUACAAGGAUCUAGUCAUAAACAUCAGUCCGCCUGUAGACUCAUCACUUGACUGCCCGCUUCAGAGACUCAUCUCAGCAAAUCUAUCAACCGGUGCGUACAAACCUCAAAAGUUGGAUGUUGCCAGCUUAGUAGGUUGUUCAAGAGAUCCUAUACCAAUAGAUCUAUAUGGUAUAGUGGGCCCAGUCACUUGUCUCAUUAACAAGGCCAUCAAGUUCUGGUAUUUGGUGAACCCCGAUGCCUACAUGUCUGUUCUACCUUUGGACUGCAUGGUUGUUUCUAAGGACAUCACAAUACCAUAUACUAGUCAGAUUGAUUACUCAGACUUUUUCAUAAUACCAAAGAAGGUCGAACACACUGCAACCUUUGAGUAUAGGGCAAGCAAAAGCAUCAGCCUUGGUGAGACAGCAUUUUCUUGGUACUCUAGUAACAUUACUAGUGUUUGCCAACAGUGUGAAAAAAAAGGACAACGAUGUGGAUUUAACUCACAAAGGGAUCAAGCUUUCUGCAAGAGUCAUGGUAUUUUUCCUUUCCCUAGUCGAAAUCAUGUAUCAUUAUGGUGUCUCAAUUCCUUUCUAAUGACAUUUCACAAAAAAAUUUAUCCAUCUAUGGUAUGUUCCAAAUUUUCCUAAUACCCAGUAAGAUUUGUACCAAUAGCAAAACUUUUCACAUAUGUUCACAUCCAUGGACGUACCCUCAAAAACAUUUUGUCUAGAGAUGGCAGUGUGAAAUUAUUAUGGUUAACUCUUUUGCAAAUUUCUCACAAAAAAGGAACAAGCCAUGGCAGCCCACCGUGCAGAUCAUUUCUUUCAGAACAGAAACCAAACUUUGCUUGGACACAAGGUCUUCUUUUUGCCUAGAUUAGCAAGGCUUGAUAUGGACUUUGGUUAUUAGUAACUCCCUUGUUAUUUCCUUUUUUUUGCUUCUGCACAAAGUAAGCAUUCAGAAUAUGAUUUUAGUCCAUGAAAUUGGCACUGUAUGGAUGUGAGGUGCACUGAUAACCAUCAACAAAUCUAACAUCGGUAACAUUUGAAUAUUGACACUUGCAUACUGUCAGAUAUAAUGUAAAUGGUCUUCAGGACAUAAUUCGAUUGUGUUGGAUUAAAUUUCCGAUGACUUAAGAGAAUUUGAACCAAGUUGCUUCAAAAAUAUUAUUGGCUUGGGCUUCUUGGAUAUAUAGGUACACUGGAUUGGCAUAGAUCAUUAGUAUUUUUAGAGUCAAAUGGAGCUAAACACCGGCUUCUCUUAGUUUGGAACUUUAGACUAGUGUAGAGUAGCUUGAACGUAGUCACCAUUAAAAUGGUGCUAAUGCAGUAAUCCUGAUUCUUGGCAAUAAAAAAGUUUACCCAUCACAAGCUACCAAUAAUAACAAAAUUAUUUAGACCAUUCACACAACAAAAUUAUACAGCGCUAACAAAGUUGAAUCUCAAACAGAUUCUUAUAAACCUGUGUUGGUUGCAAAGAUGUCCAUGUGCACCUCUGUUAUGAUCUUCAUGACUGUUGGAUUAAACAUUUUGUUCUCUCUAGCACCUGAUUUCCCACAGAACGCAAACUUGUCAUGAUACUCAAAAUGUUACCAUUCACGGCGUAUAAUGGUCUUUAUUCAUGUUAAGUUGACGUAAAUUUAUGAAGCCAAUCAAUAAGUUAUCUUUUUUAUUACUACUCACAGAAUGAACAUAAAAAAAUUAUAUAUUUUUUAAAUCACUAACCUAUAUGGUUCUUUAAUACAUAUACACACUCAUAUGAACUUCUAUUAACUUAAAUCAUGUUCGACAUUUCAAAUAUCUAACUGGAGUAAUAGAUAAAGAUAUUGGAUACUAACCAAUAAGCACGUAGCUGCAGUAUUCAAACGUUCGUAGCAGUUUUAUCACAAAAGGCAUGAGAAAAUGAGUAAAAGAUGAAAUAUAUCGAUCAAUAUAAGCCCUAUGUAUGAGGCCCAAUAUACAUGAAGGAUGAAGCUAACAGGAAGCUACACAACAUAUAUGCCCCUCCUAUACCCACAUAUCAAAUCUCAUGAAAAAAAAUCAGCAAUAAGUGGUUUCUAUCAAAAUUUUAGAAGUACCUUUCUUAUGUUUUGUCAACAUUAAAUCAUGGGAAGAACUCAAUCUGUCACUCUUACAUGCAGGUAUGCAGGUGAUCCAAAUUGCAGGUAAUGCUGCAACUCUUCUCUGUUUCCAUUAUAAAUGUACUCCCUCCGUCCGGAAAUACUUGUCAUCAAAAUGGAUAAAAGGGGGUGUAUCUAGCCGUAUUUUAGUUCUAGAUACAUCUCUUUUUAUCCAUUUUGAUGACAAGUAUUUCGGGCGGAGGGAGUACUUAACUUUUCACUCAUAUGAGAAAUAGCCACUACUCGAGGAGUCGUUGAACCUGUAUGAUGUGGGUUUAACUGAGCUGCAUCAAUUUCAUGUUCUCUCAUUGCAAUGAGAUACAAUAUAUCCCUCGGAAAAAGAGAAGGGGUGGGGCUGGGGCUGGGAAAGAUUUAAUCAUGUACUCAUAGCUAACUCUCUAAAUGCAGCUGGCUAAUUUCCAUUCUUUUUAAUCAGCAGCAUCAUCUGUAGCUGCAUUUGUAGCUCUUUCAUUGAUGUUAGCCACGACGAUCUACCUCUCACUGAAGUCAAGGUAUAAUGAAGAGAUAAAUAGGAAGGUCGAAAUAUUUCUCAAGGCAUAUGGGACAUCAAAACCUACAAGGUACACUUUCCCUGAAGUUAAGAAGAUAGCAAGACGGUUCAAGGAUAAAGUCGGCCAGGGCGGAUUUGGAAGUGUAUACAGAGGUGAGCUACCAAACAGAGUUCCUGUGGCAGUCAAGAUGCUAGAGAGCUCUACAGGAGAGGGGGAGGAAUUCAUCAAUGAAGUUGCAACCAUUGGACUAAUCCACCAUGCAAAUAUCGUCCGUCUUUUGGGCUUUUGCUCCGAAGGAAUGAGACGGGCUCUUAUUUACGAAUUCAUGCCUAACGAGUCACUGGAGAAAUACAUAUUCCCACAUGUUUCCAAUAUUUCUCGACAACUCCUAUCACCAAAAAAAAUGCUAGAUAUUGCUUUAGGCAUUGCCCGAGGGAUGGAAUAUCUGCACCAAGGCUGCAACCAGCGCAUCCUCCACUUUGACAUCAAGCCACAUAACAUCCUGCUGGACUACAACUUCAACCCAAAGAUCUCAGACUUUGGCCUUGCAAAGCUGUGUGCAAGGACCAGAGCAUCAUUACCUUAACUGCAGCAAGAGGCACCAUGGGAUACAUCGCACCAGAGCUAUACUCUCGGAACUUUGGAGGGGUUUCGUACAAGUCAGACGUGUACAGUUUCGGCAUGCUUGUGUUGGAAAUGGUCAGUGGAAGGAGGAACUCAGAUCCAAGUGUUGAGAACCAGGACGAGGUAUAUCUCCCGGAGUGGAUCUACGAGAGAGUAAUCAGUGGGCAUGAAUGUGAGCUCACUUCAGAAAUAACAGCAGAAGACAAAGAAAAGAUGAGGCAGCUGACUAUUGUGGCCCUGUGGUGUAUCCAGUGGAACCCGAAGAACCGGCCUUCAAUGACAAAGGUGGUAAACAUGUUAACCGGGAG